ensembl:ncRNA lncRNA:CR45539 long non-coding RNA:CR45539
UAGAGGACCUACAAACAUAUUGUAUUACAACACGAUGGAGAUGAAAAAAAAGAAGUAUAAACAACAAAAAUUAUUAAUUCUAAGUAGACAAAAGAUAGAAGUGGACAAAGAUAAAGGAGAAGGAGGAGCAGAUGAAGCGCAAAGCAAACCAAAUAAAAUUAGACUACGACUAAAAGGCAAACGAGAAGAGAACAGAAGAGAU